GACUAGAGUUUGAUCCUGGCUCAGAUUGAACGCUGGCGGCAUGCUUUACACAUGCAAGUCGAACGGCAGCGCGGGCUUCGGCCUGGCGGCGAGUGGCGAACGGGUGAGUAAUACAUCGGAACGUGCCCAGUAGUGGGGGAUAGCUCGGCGAAAGCCGGAUUAAUACCGCAUACGACCUGAGGGUGAAAGCGGGGGAUCUUCGGACCUCGCGCUAUUGGAGCGGCCGAUGGCAGAUUAGCUAGUUGGUGGGGUAAAGGCCUACCAAGGCGACGAUCUGUAGCUGGUCUGAGAGGACGACCAGCCACACUGGGACUGAGACACGGCCCAGACUCCUACGGGAGGCAGCAGUGGGGAAUAUUGGACAAUGGGCGCAAGCCUGAUCCAGCCAUACCGCGUGGGUGAAGAAGGCCUUCGGGUUGUAAAGCCCUUUUGUUGGGAAAGAAAUCCAGCUGGUUAAUACCCGGUUGGGAUGACGGUACCCAAAGAAUAAGCACCGGCUAACUUC
rnacentral:rRNA from 1 species